AAGGAGCUACUGGUGGGUUCAGAAAAUGGGAAACGAAGGACGCACUGGAUUGCAUGGGAGAAAUUACUACGCCCAAAGAAUCAAGGUGGCCUGGGUUUCCGAGAUAUGAGGCUUUUUAACCAAGCUCUAUUAGCUCGUCAAGCAUGGCGUUUAAUUGGUAGACCUGAGAGUCUAUGCACGAGCCUACUUAAAGCGAGAUACUAUAGACACGGCAAUCUAAUUGACACUGUCUUCACAGGCAAUGCGUCUCCUGUAUGGCGAGGAAUUGAGCAUGGGCUGGAAUUGUUGAAGCAAGGCAUUAUAUGGAGAAUUGGUAAUGGUAAAAAAGUCAGGGUUUGGAGGGACCCGUGGUUACCA
rnacentral:rRNA from 1 species